rnacentral:rRNA from 1 species
GAGUUUGAUCCUGGCUCAGGACGAACGCUGGCGGCGUGCCUAAUACAUGCAAGUCGAGCGGAGAUUUGAAAAGCUUGCUUUUCAAAUCUUAGCGGCGGACGGGUGAGUAACACGUGGGCAACCUGCCCUUGAGACGGGGAUAACUCCGGGAAACCGGAGCUAAUACCGGAUAACACAUAUCUUCGCAUGAAGAUAUGUUAGAAGGUGGCUUUUAGCUAUCACUCAAGGAUGGGCCCGCGGCGCAUUAGCUAGUUGGUGAGGUAACGGCUCACCAAGGCGACGAUGCGUAGCCGACCUGAGAGGGUGAUCGGCCACACUGGGACUGAGACACGGCCCAGACUCCUACGGGAGGCAGCAGUAGGGAAUCUUCCGCAAUGGACGAAAGUCUGACGGAGCAACGCCGCGUGAGUGAUGAAGGUUUUCGGAUCGUAAAGCUCUGUUGUUAGGGAAGAACAAGUACCUGUUGAAUAAGCAGGUACCUUGACGGUACCUAACCAGAAAGCCACGGCUAACUACGUGCCAGCAGCCGCGGUAAUACGUAGGUGGCAAGCGUUGUCCGGAAUUAUUGGGCGUAAAGCGCGCGCAGGCGGUUCCUUAAGUCUGAUGUGAAAGCCCACGGCUCAACCGUGGAGGGUCAUUGGAAACUGGGGAACUUGAGUGCAGAAGAGGAGAGCGGAAUUCCACGUGUAGCGGUGAAAUGCGUAGAGAUGUGGAGGAACACCAGUGGCGAAGGCGGCUCUCUGGUCUGUAACUGACGCUGAGGCGCGAAAGCGUGGGGAGCGAACAGGAUUAGAUACCCUGGUAGUCCACGCCGUAAACGAUGAGUGCUAAGUGUUAGAGGGUUUCCGCCCUUUAGUGCUGCAGCAAACGCAUUAAGCACUCCGCC